UACGGAGGGUGCGAGCGUUGUCCGGAAUCAUUGGGCGUAAAGGGCGCGUAGGUGGCCUGGUCAGCGUGCGGUGAAAGCUCGGGGCUCAACCCCGAGUCGGCCGUGCGAACUGCUGGGCUUGAGCACUGUAGAGGCAGGCGGAAUUCCGGGUGUAGCGGUGGAAUGCGUAGAGAUCCGGAAGAACACCGGUGGCGAAGGCGGCAUCCUGGACCGGUAUUGACGCUGAGGCGCGAAAGCCAGGGGAGCAAACGGG
rnacentral:rRNA from 1 species